rnacentral:tRNA from 2 species
GCCUCUGUGGCUCAGUGGCUAGAGCAGCGGUUUUGUAAACCGCCGGUCGAGGGUUCGAAUCCCUCCGGAGGCU